GCCAGAUGUGGUGGUGCACACCUGUAAUCCCAGCUACACAGGAGGCAGGGACAGGAGAAUCACUUGAACCUGGGAGGCCGAGGUGGCAGUGAGCUGAGAUCGAGCCACUGCACCCCAGCCUGGGCGACAGAGCGAGACUCUGCCUCGAAAAAAAAAAAAAAUUCAGCAAGGGGUGUGUGUGUGUCUGUGUGUGUGUGUGUGUGUGCAAGCCAUACUUUUUUUUUUUUGAGACAGUCUUGCUCUGUCGCCCAGGCUGGAGUGCAGUGGCUCGAUCUCAGCUCACUGCCACCUCCGCCUCCCAGGUUCAAGUGAUUCUCCUGUCCCUG
rnacentral:SRP_RNA from 1 species